GCAGGAUAAUCCCAUUGAUUUCAGACACAAGAGCAGGCCGGUGACGGUGAAUCCCAGGGCCUCUGUGCAUCUUACUGGCUGCGGAAAAGUGUGAUGGUGGGAUGGGCUGCGGGACUUUCAUAAGACACCAGGGUCCAGAAGCAAUACCACAUGACCCCAAAAGUUCCUGGAGCAGUGGAAAGAAGACAAGCAGGCAAAGGGCAGGGGAGGGAAAAACAAUCACAUUUUGUGGCUGUUGACCAUGCUGACGAUGGCCACGCCCAAGUUACAUCGGAUUCCAAAGGAGAUGCAGAAGCCAAUGCCAGAGAGGAUGGCGAUGAUGUAGCGCCUGGGCAGGCCGAAGCACGUGCAGUCGACCACCGGCAUUUCCUUUUCCUCCACCAGCUCGGGCCGGCCCUCCGCCGACAGCUCGAUGGUCUCGCCAUUUUCUUGCUUCUUCUCGAGAGCGCUGCGGAGAAGAGUUUGGAAAAAAAGGUGUAGGGAUCAAAAAUUUUGUAUGCAUGUUAACUACAGUCCUUGUUCGUAUGUUGUUUAGACUCUUGGGCACUUUGGGCUUUUGUCAUAAAUAUGAAUACAAAAAGGCCUUGAUCAAAAAGCUGCGCAAGUGAAUUUGGUUAUCAAGAAGUUGAUUCAAAAGUUACAUUUUCAUAUAGUUUCAAUCUUUGUAUUCCUCCUCUGUCAGCUUAUGAUGGUGUGGUGUGGUGUUCUGAGGCAUCAGUUUGAAAACCCUCUUUGCAGAGACAGCCUUUGACAAAUCACACCAAAAGACUCCUUGAUAUAAAAUUUGCCACUUCAGCACUCACUAGUUGUCAAUUCAAUUUAACAAAACUGCUCUUUAAAACUGUGCCAAAUGACAGGACUCAAACAGAAGCAAAAACAAUCAUUGAUCCCAUUACAGGAGAGACCUUUACGUUUGGUUUACCAGUGCGGCUGUGGCUUAGGGAGUGGAGAGGGUCGUCCACCAACCAAGAGGUCAACAGUUUGAUCCCCAGCUCCUUCCAGUCGGCAUGCCAAAGUGACACUUAACCCUAAAUUGUUCCUGAUGGCUGUGCCAGCAGUGUAUGAAUGAUUUGUGAUCUGCUAUGUAUAGAAGCGCUGUACGAAUGAGUGAAUGUGACUUGUAAUGUAAACACUUUGUGUGAUCGAUAAGACUCGAAAAGCGCCAUAUCACUGCAGUCCAUUUACCAUUCCUAGAUUUUUCUAUAUUGUCGAUUUUCUUCAAGGGCAAUCAGUCAUUCAGUCAUCUCCCAGACGGGUGUUUCUGAACGAUGACUGAGGAUCUGGAUUUUUAGAUAAUCUUUCAAACUGUCAAUUUGACUGGUAACUCCAACAUUAUAACUAGAAACUGAGACUGUCGCCCUACUAACUUUGACAUAUCCCGUCUUCUUGAGGUGUUUAAACACUGCUUCUUUUUAUAUAUUUAUAUAUAACAUUUGGUCAAACUGGCUGACAGUGAGGAAUACAGUGUGAGUAAAAGACAACAGCAUUGACAGAAACUUGUCUCAUCCGGGUGCAUUCAUCCUCCUCUUCCCCCUCCAGACAAGGUUAACUACUCCUUUUCUGCUCCCGUCUGUAGCGUGUGCUCAAAUGUCUUGCAGAGAAACCCGGAGAAACCAUGACCUCUGCAAGCUCGACGUCUUACAGCCAUCAAAUAUGUAUCAAAACGCAGUGGAUAAUCUAUUAAACAUGACAUGCGCUAGGAACAGACUUGAGAACUGCAGGUCCACGUGAUGGAGCCCUAUUGCUAUUCCCACUGCUUUUGUCUGGUUAAUAUAAUUUAUAACCAGUGCGGGGAGAUGCAUUCGGCACAUGAGAGCUGGUUGUGCUCAAGCAAAACAUAUCAG